rnacentral:misc_RNA from 1 species
GGAUUCUGGAAUUCAUUAUUUCCUCCAUGCAUGCCAAAAGACCUGAUCGGGGGAGGCAUGGUGGUGUUUCCGACGAACGUCGGGCGAUGAAUUGAAGUGUCGGCGACCUAUUUCGGCUCCCCAACCCCAACACCUGACUGCGUCUCUUUCACAGGCAACUGAGACAAGGUCUUGGGUGUAAAUGAUCUGCUGUUUUGUGCGG